rnacentral:rRNA from 1 species
UACAGAGGGGGCAAGCGUUGUUCGGAAUUACUGGGCGUAAAGGGCGCGUAGGCGGCCUGCUAAGUCGAACGUGAAAUCCCCGGGCUCAACCCGGGAACUGCGUCCGAUACUGGCAGGCUUGAAUCCGGGAGAGGGAUGCGGAAUUCCAGGUGUAGCGGUGAAAUGCGUAGAUAUCUGGAGGAACACCGGUGGCGAAGGCGGCAUCCUGGACCGGUAUUGACGCUGAGACGCGAAAGCGUGGGGAGCGAACAGG